UACGUAGGGUGCAAGCGUUUGUCCGGAAUUAUUGGGCGUAAAGAGCUCGUAGGCGGUCUGUCACGUCGGCUGUGAAAACCUGGGGCUCAACCCCGGGCCUGCAGCCGAUACGGGCAGACUAGAAUUCGGUAGGGGAGACUGGAAUUCCUGGUGUAGCGGUGAAAUGCGCAGAUAUCAGGAGGAACACCGGUGGCGAAGGCGGGUCUCUGGGCCGAUAUUGACGCUGAGGAGCGAAAGCGUGGGGAGCGAACAGG
rnacentral:rRNA from 1 species